AUAUUCUAUAGCAAAAUAUCAUCAAAAAAUAUUAAUCUAGUAAAGAAAAUUAUCUGUUUUUAUAAAAUUGGUAAAGCUAAAAACUAUGCCAUUGGAUGAAACUAUUACCGAAUUAUUUUUGGUCGUAUGCAUAAUAUGUACAAGAUUCUAUAAAGAAAUAAACUAGAGUUGAAGAAGAAAAAAAGUUAAUGUUGUCGCAAGGCAUUUCUGCCUCUCCAUCUCUCUCUCUCUCGUCAUAAAUCAAGAGAAAGAAAGAUUCAAGGAAUAAGAUAGGGUUAGAAUAUUUCUUGGAAGUCCAAAAGAAAAAAAGAAAAAAAUAAGGGAAGCUAGAAAACAUUUUGUUCAAAGUAGUAAUGAUAAGUUUACUCCACUACCUCUGACUUCCAUUCAUCCCUCAUCAUCAUUACAACCUCACUUCUUUCUUUUUCUCUGUACCUCCACUUUUUAUUCCCAACAUCAUGAUGAUAGUGAUGAUGACGAUUCCUCAUCUUCAUCAUCAUCUUCGUCGUCUUCUUCUACUUCUUUUUUCUCUUCAACUCCCAAGUUCCAGUACCCAAGAGGAAAACAUAAUCACAGAAAUCCAAGAUCAAGAAUCCCAAGAAAAAGAAGAAGUUGUUGAUUAUCAUCGUCAUCAAGAUUAGGGUUUACCUAAUCUCUCUACUUUUUCUUUUAGAUCGAUUCUUGACCAUCAUCAUCAUCAUCUCAUAUAUGUUUGUAUCGUCAUCCACGUGUGCGUACGAGAUCCAGUAGGGGAAUCAAGCGUCUCGGUCCGAUCCUUCGCUUCUUCAAAGCGAUCUUCACUCGAAAAUCAUAAAAUCAAGUGUCUUUGUUUUUUUUUUUUUGAAACACCAAGUGUCUUUGUUUACCUCUUUCUUAUCUUUGUGUGUUUUUCUUUUGACUUCCUUUUUUUUUUUUUCAUGUUAAGACUACCUUUGUUCUUCUAUUCGCUGUCUCUUCUAGAUUUCUCUCUUUUCAAUUGGUGUUUUCGUUUGGCUUAUUUAAAUUUUAUAAAUAUAUAUGUAUCAUCACUAUGUUCUUCUUCAAAUUCUACUCAGGAAAUUAAAUUCCAUACACAUGAUGGUUGUUAGCAUAUUGUGAAAUCAUACCGAUUCCCAUGUAAUCAAUUUGCUUGGAUCAAUGAGAUACAUCACAAGAUGAAACUUGUUUUAAAGGAAGGUAAUAAUUUAUUAUAGACCAUAUUAUAGAACAACCAUUUGUAUGCUAAUAUGUGUGUGUCUAUAUAUAUAUAUAUAUGGGUGUGUGUGUGUGUGUGUGAGAGAGAGAGAGUCUCUGUGUAAAUAUGCUGAAUUUGUCUGUUAACGAAUGAUGGUGAUAAUGUAUCAUGAAUUUUAGAACAUUAACCAUGUUUCAUAUCAUAUACAGAGACGUGCCUACAGUGUAUUGAAAAAGGCAUUCGCCUCAGGUCUCCGAUUAAUAUGAUUGUUUUUAGGGUCCCAAAAUUUAAAAUAAUUUCUAAAAUUAAUUUAUUCAUUUUUUAAAUUCAUGUAUUUUUUUCUGUAUGAUAUAAUAUAACAUAUUUACGUUAUAAACUUAUUCUUUUACAGUAUUAGACUUGUGUAUUUGGUGAAAAUAAUAUAUUAUAUUAGAAAAUUAUUUUCAUUACGGUUGUAAAUAAAUUUAUUUUUAAAAAUUGCUUUAGGCCCCUAAAACUUUUCGUACGGCACUGAUCAUAUACUAUAUGAAUGAUAUAUAGAUAUCUAUAUGACUGUUUGACAAAAAAAAAGCGAUCUAUAUGACUAUAUGGUAGAGCAUGCCUUGUAUCUAUGAUCGUGACGAUUUGGUACGUACGGUCAAAGAAACUUAUGAUAGCUGUGUGACGAAGAAAUGUGUACGUACAUAUAUGCAUUUACAUAUAGUCUUCACGAUCUAUAUUUUUGGAGACUAUCUAUAUGUAUAAGCAAUUGCAAGAAUAUUCUCGAGACAGCAUUUAUUUAUUGCCUAGAUCUAAUUUGUUUAUGGGAGAAUUGCUAAAACCAAUCCAAAUAUUCAAGUCAAAUAUAAAAGUAUAUCUCACUUUCAGUCAAAUACAAAAUCAACUUAAAAAAUAGUAAAAAUAGUAUUUAACUCUUAUGACUAAACAAAAGAACAGGAAUGUAUAUUAUAUUUAUGUCAUUCGCAAGUCUAUACGUAACAGAAAGAAGUCUACAUAUAUGUAGACCUCUUAUGAAGUCUACCACUUAUUUUGUAGUCUAUACCAUAAUUUGAUCUAAUAAUUGAAUUUUUUUUAAAUGUAUAAAAAAUAAUUGUUGUGAUAAUUUUAAUUAAUCAUUAAUAAAAUGGAUAAUAUGAAGUAAAUAAAUUAAAAUUUUAUAUAAUUGAAUAUUUUAUAGAGUAUAUACUAAUUUGGUAACCAUAUGCUAGAUAAUGUUCAUGGUUUAUAAACAAAAGGUUGUUACGUGUUAUGUCUUUUAGUGGUAGAUUUCUUAGGUUUAGAUUUUAGAUUGAGAUUAAGAUUUUUUUGUUUUACUGACUUAAAUUUGCAAAUUAGUGUUUGAUAUUUGUGAUAUUUAAUACAUUAAUUGAGACUAUUUCGAUUAUCAAGAGAUUUGUGGUUUAGAGUUUCGUAGACUCACAAUAAAGUCUAUUUCACUGUAGACGUUGUUUUCAGUCUACUUUAGUUGAUUACAAAAAAUAUUAUUUUUAAAUUAAAUAUAGUUUUUUAUGAAUAAAAAUGCGAAAUCAUAUAUUAUAACUAUUUUUAAAAGAAUUGGUAAAUUAUAUAUUUACAUUAUUAAACAAUAAUUUACGAGAAGAAUGGAUAACAAUUUUUUUUUAAAAAAAAAUUACAUAUUUUUUUAAAUAAUAAAAGAUAGGAGAAAGAACAAAAAAAAAUUAUUAUAGACUUAUAAAAUUAUAAUAGACUUAUAAAACCAAAAUAAUUAAACUUAACCAAAAUUAAACCAUAAAAGUUUUAACCUAACCAUAUCAAGUAUCCGACGUAUAAAUACAUUUUUUGUGGAAUUUGGUAAGAAACACAAAACCUAGCGAUGUUGCUCUCUUUAAGUCUCUAGAACAGGCGAUUUCCGGCAGUCUGACCCUAUCGAGUUUCUCUUCCUUAUUCUCCCACUCGCCGUCCUCUCCGAAUCACCAUCAUGACCAUCACCACCGUCCUCCCAUCCGUCAGCCAUAUCCACGUUGUCUCCGUCCACCUCGUCACCACCGUUCCUCUCCUCGUCUUCUCCAGUUUCUCAGGAGUGAGGAGAGUGAUGAGUCGGAGAUGAGCAGCGGCGAUGAGGAGAUAGAGCUUAACUUCGACUUCAAUGGAGUUCUGCCGUGUGUGUGUUCGAGCUUUGAGAUCAAAGGAUGAGAUGGACUCUAGUGAGAAGAGAAGGGAGGAUAUGGAUUUGGCUCAGAGACGAGGGAGGAGAUGGAGUUGGAUUCAAAGAUAAGUCUCUUACCCUCUUUCUCAGAUUGAGUUUUAUUUCUGAUUUAAUGUAUUGAUUAUGGAGAAAACUGACAGUUUCAAAAAUUGUAACCACAAUUUCAGGUACGUUCAGGAUUGGCAUUGAGAAUAACUGCACCAAACCAGCUGAGGACUGAGGACAUCGUUGUAACUUGUAACUGAAACUUUGGGAUGCAUUAAUUGGGAUGUGCUUCAUUCUCUCGAUCACAAGCAUAGGGGAUGUGCUUGAUUCUAAGCUGCUCAAAGGCUGUAUAUUAUGGUCGCAUGACUGAAAUACUGGUGCGAAGAGCUUCUUUUCCUGAUGAAUUCACACGGUUAACAGCCAUCAUGUGGAUAAACGAGAUUGUCUUAAAGCAUGCUUAUUAUAAGGAUCAAGCAUGCAUGUCACAAGCUACAUAUUCAGCGAUGGCCACUUUGGUGAAUGUGCAACCACUUUUUUGGCUAGAAUUGGAAGAUAGAUGAAGUUUUUGAUCAUUAUCAUGAGAGAGAAUAAGAUGUUUGUAAUAGACAUUUGUAUUGUACUUUUGUACGAGGCUACAUUGUAUUGUUCUCUUUGUAUCAAACUGAUGUAUUAUGUAAUAACUUACAUAUUCAGCGAUGACCACUUUGGUGAUUGUUCUUUUGUAUCAAACUACCUGUUAGAAAGCAGACUUGUUUAAUACAACCUUUAAAAAAAUACAAAAAAAAAAAUUAAGAUCCCCAAGUUUAACAUAGGUUCAUCACUUAACACAACUCUAAAACAAUGUAAUACAAGAGUCGCCCAUAAAAGUGACUCAAGAUCCACAAAUUCAACAUAAGUUUCACAUAACCUCCAAUUACAGAACUAGACUUACAAAGACAUCUACACUAAUUAUUUAACUACAUAGUCAAACCAAAAAGUUGAUAGUUUCAUAAUUAUAUCAGAUUUUCUUUUCAAAAUCACUCAAGACCAGUAGGAUUAACUUAUACUCACUAUCGGAAAAAAAAAUCUUAAAAAAACUUAAUGAAUAAUACACAAAUUCACAUUUUUAUAGAUUUUUCUAUGUAGACUUAAUAUUUA